AGUUUGAUUAUGGCUCAGUGAUUGAACGCUGGCGGAUGCUUACACACGGUAAGUCGUGAACGGCAGCACGGACUUCGGUCUGGUGGCGAGCGGCGAACGGGUGAGUAAUGUAUCGGAACGUGCCUAGUAGCGAUAACUACGCCAGAGCGUAGCUAGACCGUAUACCGCCCCUUCCGCAGGGGGAAAGGGGGACCUUCUGGGCCUCGCACUAAUUAGAGCGGCCGAUAUCGGAUUAGCUAGUUGGUGGGGUAACGGCUCACCAAGGCGACGAUCCGUAGCUGGUUUGAGAGGACGACCAGCCACACUGGGACUGAGACACGGCCCAGACUCCUACGGGAGGCAGCAGUGGCACUUGACAAUGGGAAACCCUGAUCCAGCUCAUCCGGGCGUGUGUGCGAUGAAGGCCUUCGGGUUGUAAAGCACUUUUGGCAGGAAGAAACGCAGACCGGGAUAAUACCCCGUGCAACUGACGGUACUCAGAGAAUAGCACCGGCUAACUACGUGCCAGCAGCCGCGGUAAUACGUAGGGUGCAAGCGUUAAUCGGAAUUACUGGGCGGAAGCGUGCGCAGGCGGUUCGGAAAGAAAGAUGUGAAAUCCAGAGCUUAACUUUGAACUGCAUUUCUUAACUACCGAGCUAGAGUGUCAGAGGGAGGCGGAAUCCCGCGUGUAGCAGUGAAAUGCGUAGAUAUGCGAGGAACACCGAUGGCGAAGGCAGCCUGGGAUAACACUGACGCUCAUGCACGAGCGGGGAGCAAACAGGAUUAGAUACCUGCAUAGUCCACGCCCUAAACGAUGUCAACUAGCUGCUGGGGCCUUCUUCGGCCUUGUAGCGCAGCUAACGCGUGAAGUUGACCGCCUGGGAGUACGGUCGCAAGAUUUAAAACUCAAAGGAAUUGACGGGACCCGCACAAGCGGUGGAGAUUAAUGGACACCUGAUGCAACGCAAGAAAAACCUUACCUACCCUUGACAUGUCUGGAAUCCCGAAGAUUUGAGUGCUCGCAGAUAACUGGAACACAGGUGCUGUAUGCCAAGCCGCCGUGCUCGUGUCGUGAGAUGUUGUUAAGUCCCGCACUGAAAGGCACCUCCCUUGUCAUUAGUUGCUGAAAGGGCACUCUAAUGAGACUGCCGGUGACAAACCGGAGGAAGGUGGGGAUGACGUCAAGUCCUCAUGGCCUAUGGGUAGGGCUUCACACGCCCAUACAACGGUCGGGACAGAGGGUCGCCAACCCGCGAGGGGAGCCAAUCCCAGAAACCCGGAUCGUAGUCCGAUCGCAGUCUGCAACCUGACUGCGUGAAGUCAGAACUGCUAGUAAUCGCGGAUCAGCAUGUCGCGGUGAAUACGUUCCUGGUCUUGUACACACCGCCCGUCACCAACUAAGGGAGUGGGUUUUACCAGAAGUAGUUAGCCUAACCGUAAGGAGUGGCGAUUACCACGGUAGGAUUCAUGACUGGGGUGAAGUCGUAACAAGGUAG
rnacentral:rRNA from 1 species